GGGAGGUAGUGACAAUAAAUAACAAUACGGGGUUCUUUCGGAUCUCGUAAUUGGAAUGAGUACAAUUUAAAUCUCUUAACGAGGAACAAUUGGAGGGCAAGUCUGGUGCCAGCAGCCGCGGUAAUUCCAGCUCCAAUAGCGUAUAUUAAAGUUGUUGCAGUUAAAAAGCUCGUAGUUGAAUUUCGGGGUCAGCAGGUUGGUCGUGCCUAUGGUAUGCACUGGCCUCGCUGAUUCCUCCCUCUUUAUGAGCCGUAAUGUCAUUAAUUUGGUGUUGCGGGGAAUCAGGACUGUUACUUUGAAAAAAUUAGAGUGUUUAAAGCAGACUAUCGUCUGAAUACAUUAGCAUGGAAUAAUGAAAUAGGACGUUUGAUCCUAUUUUGUUGGUUUCUAGGAUUGACGUAAUGAUUAAUAGGGAUAGUUGGG
rnacentral:rRNA from 1 species